UACGUAGGGUGCAAGCGUUGUCCGGAAUUAUUGGGCGUAAAGAGCUCGUAGGCGGUUUGUCGCGUCUGCUGUGAAAACCGGAGGCUCAACCUCCGGCCUGCAGUGGGUACGGGCAGACUAGAGUGCGGUAGGGGAGAUUGGAAUUCCUGGUGUAGCGGUGGAAUGCGCAGAUAUCAGGAGGAACACCGGUGGCGAAGGCGGGUCUCUGGGCCGAUAUUGACGCUGAGGAGCGAAAGCGUGGGGAGCGAACAGG
rnacentral:rRNA from 1 species